GAUGAACGCUGGCGGCGUGCCUAAUACAUGCAAGUCGAGCGAACGGACGAGAAGCUUGCUUUUCUGAUGUUAGCGGCGGACGGGUGAGUAACACGUGGAUAACCUACCUAUAAGACUGGGAUAACUUCGGGAAACCGGAGCUAAUACCGGAUAAUAUUUUGAACCGCAUGGUUCAAAAGUGAAAGACGGUCUUGCUGUCACUUAUAGAUGGAUCCGCGCUGCAUUAGCUAGUUGGUAAGGUAACGGCUUACCAAGGCAACGAUGCAUAGCCGACCUGAGAGGGUGAUCGGCCACACUGGAACUGAGACACGGUCCAGACUCCUACGGGAGGCAGCAGUAGGGAAUCUUCCGCAAUGGGCGAAAGCCUGACGGAGCAACGCCGCGUGAGUGAUGAAGGUCUUCGGAUCGUAAAACUCUGUUAUUAGGGAAGAACAUAUGUGUAAGUAACUGUGCACAUCUUGACGGUACCUAAUCAGAAAGCCACGGCUAACUACGUGCCAGCAGCCGCGGUAAUACGUAGGUGGCAAGCGUUAUCCGGAAUUAUUGNNGCGUAAGCGCGCGUAGGCGGUUUUUUAAGUCUGAUGUGAAAGCCCACGGCUCAACCGUGGAGGGUCAUUGGAAACUGGAAAACUUGAGUGCAGAAGAGGAAAGUGGAAUUCCAUGUGUAGCGGUGAAAUGCGCAGAGAUAUGGAGGAACACCAGUGGCGAAGGCGACUUUCUGGUCUGUAACUGACGCUGAUGUGCGAAAGCGUGGGGAUCAAACAGGAUUAGAUACCCUGGUAGUCCACGCCGUAAACGAUGAGUGCUAAGUGUUAGGGGGUUUCCGCCCCUUAGUGCUGCAGCUAACGCAUUAAGCACUCCGCCUGGGGAGUACGACCGCAAGGUUGAAACUCAAAGGAAUUGACGGGGACCCGCACAAGCGGUGGAGCAUGUGGUUUAAUUCGAAGCAACGCGAAGAACCUUACCAAAUCUUGACAUCCUUUGACAACUCUAGAGAUAGAGCCUUCCCCUUCGGGGGACAAAGUGACAGGUGGUGCAUGGUUGUCGUCAGCUCGUGUCGUGAGAUGUUGGGUUAAGUCCCGCAACGAGCGCAACCCUUAAGCUUAGUUGCCAUCAUUAAGUUGGGCACUCUAAGUUGACUGCCGGUGACAAACCGGAGGAAGGUGGGGAUGACGUCAAAUCAUCAUGCCCCUUAUGAUUUGGGCUACACACGUGCUACAAUGGACAAUACAAAGGGCAGCGAAACCGCGAGGUCAAGCAAAUCCCAUAAAGUUGUUCUCAGUUCGGAUUGUAGUCUGCAACUCGACUACAUGAAGCUGGAAUCGCUAGUAAUCGUAGAUCAGCAUGCUACGGUGAAUACGUUCCCGGGUCU
rnacentral:rRNA from 1 species